UCAGUUGGCUUAUAAUUGAAGUCUAGUAUGAAUGGGACCACGGGAAUAUUCUAUCUUUAAUAUAUAAAAGAAAUUACUAAUUAAGUGAAAAUUCUUAAAAGUUAGAAAAUAGACGAGAAGACCCUAGAAAUUUUUUAUUUAGAUUUUGUUGGGGCGACAGGGUAACAAAAAACUUACCUAUAAAUAAUAGGAAAUUUUUUAGUGGUGUAAUUAAAUUACUCUAGGGAUAACAGCAUAAUAUUUUAAAGGUUGUGACCUCGAUGUUGGACUAGGAAUAUCAUUACU
rnacentral:rRNA from 1 species